rnacentral:piRNA from 1 species
UGCUUAAACACAUUGUCUAGGUACCUAA